rnacentral:tRNA from 1 species
GAUACCGUAGCUCAAUGGUAGAGCAGUUGGUUGUUAACCAUCAGGUUAUAGGUUCGAAUCCUAUCGCUAUCG